AUCCGGGUUGCGGACAGUGUCUGGUGGGUAGUUUGACUGGGGCGGUCUCCUCCUAAAGAGUAACGGAGGAGCACGAAGGUUGGCUAAUCCUGGUCGGACAUCAGGAGGUUAGUGCAAUGGCAUAAGCCAGCUUGACUGCGAGCGUGACGGCGCGAGCAGGUGCGAAAGCAGGUCAUAGUGAUCCGGUGGUUCUGAAUGGAAGGGCCAUCGCUCAACGGAUAAAAGGUACUCCGGGGAUAACAGGCUGAUACCGCCCAAGAGUUCAUAUCGACGGCGGUGUUUGGCACCUCGAUGUCGGCUCAUCACAUCCUGGGGCUGAAGUAGGUCCCAAGGGUAUGGCUGUUCGCCAUUUAAAGUGGUACGCGAGCUGGGUUUAGAACGUCGUGAGACAGUUCGGUCCCUAUCUGCCGUGGGCGCUGGAGAACUGAGGGGGGCUGCUCCUAGUACGAGAGGACCGGAGUGGACGCAUCACUGGUGUUCGGGUUGUCAUGCCAAUGGCACUGCCCGGUAGCUAAAUGCGGAAGAGAUAAGUGCUGAAAGCAUCUAAGCACGAAACUUGCCCCGAGAUGAGUUCUCCCUGAGACUUAGAGUCUCCUGAAGGAACGUUGAAGACGACGACGUUGAUAGGCCGGGUGUGUAAGCGCAGCGAUGCGUUGAGCUAACCGGUACUAAUGAACCGUGAGGCUUAACCUUACA
rnacentral:rRNA from 10 species